rnacentral:rRNA from 1 species
AUUGAACGCUGGCGGCAUGCUUUACACAUGCAAGUCGAACGGUAACAGGGUGCUUGCACCGCUGACGAGUGGCGAACGGGUGAGUAAUGCGUCGGAACGUGCCGAGUAGUGGGGGAUAACGCAGCGAAAGUUGUGCUAAUACCGCAUACGUACUGAGGUAGAAAGUGGGGGACCUUCGGGCCUCACGCUAUUCGAGCGGCCGCCGUCUGAUUAGCUAGUAGGGGAGGUAAAGGCUCACCUAGGCGACGAUCAGUAGCGGGUCUGAGAGGAUGGUCCGCCACACUGGGACUGAGACACGGCCCAGACUCCUACGGGAGGCAGCAGUGGGGAAUUUUGGACAAUGGGCGAAAGCCUGAUCCAGCCAUGCCGCGUGUCUGAAGAAGGCCUUCGGGUUGUAAAGGACUUUUGUCGGGGAGGAAAUCCCCAGCGUUAAUACCGCUGGGGGAUGACAGUACCUGAAGAAUAAGCACCGGCUAACUACGUGCCAGCCGCCGCAGUAA